rnacentral:rRNA from 1 species
UACGUAGGGGGCUAGCGUUGUCCGGAUUUACUGGGCGUAAAGGGCUUGUAGGCGGUUUGUCAAGUCUGUCGUGAAAUCCUGCGGCUUAACCGGGGGCUUGCGGUGGAUACUGGCAGGCUAGAGUGCGGUAGGGGAGACUGGAAUUCCUGGUGUAGCGGUGAAAUGCGUAGAUAUCAGGAGGAACACCGGUGGCGAAGGCGGGUCUCUGGGCCGUUACUGACGCUGAGGCGCGAAAGCGUGGGGAGCGAACAGG